CAACCUCUUGAUGCUGGGAACUGCGUGAUCAGGAAGGCGGAGACUCCAAUAGGAGGCCCUUCCAUUACACUUCGGAAGGGCUGAGACCGGCCACUCUCCCAAAGUGGGAAAGAUGGGGCAUGUAAUUUUUGGUAGUGGGGGUUACCAUCA
rnacentral:snRNA from 13 species